rnacentral:rRNA from 1 species
UCAGAGGGGGGUAGAAUUNCACGUGUAGCAGUGAAAUGCGUAGAGAUGUGGAGGAAUACCGAUGGCGAAGGCAGCCCCCUGGGAUAAUACUGACGUUCAUGCUCGAAAGCGUGGGUAGCAAACAGGAUUAGAUACCCUGGUAGUNCACGCCCUAAACGAUGUCGAUUAGCUGUUGGGCAACUUGAUUGCUUAGUAGCGUAGCUAACGCGUGAAAUCGACCGCCUGGGGAGUACGGUCGCAAGAUUAAAACUCAAAGGAAUUGACGGGGACCCGCACAAGCGGUGGAUGAUGUGGAUUAAUUCGAUGCAACGCGAAGAACCUUACCUGGUCUUGACAUGUACGGAAGAACUCAGAGACGAGUUUGUGCCUUCGGGAGCCGUAACACAGGUGCUGCAUGGCUGUCGUCAGCUCGUGUCGUGAGAUGUUGGGUUAAGUCCCGCAACGAGCGCAACCCUUGUCAUUAGUUGCCAUCAUUUAGUUGGGCACUCUAAUGAGACUGCCGGUGACAAACCGGAGGAAGGUGGGGAUGACGUCAAGUCCUCAUGGCCCUUAUGACCAGGGCUUCACACGUCAUACAAUGGUCGGUACAGAGGGUAGCCAAGCCGCGAGGUGGAGCCAAUCCCAGAAAACCGAUCGUAGUCCGGAUUGCACUCUGCAACUCGAGUGCAUGAAGUCGGAAUCGCUAGUAAUCGCAGGUCAGCAUACUGCGGUGAAUACGUUCCCGGGUCUUGUACACACCGCCCGUCACACCAUGGGAGUGGGGGAUACCAGAAGUAGGUAGGGUAACCGCAAGGAGC